UCCCUGGUGGUCCAGUGGUUAAGGCUCUGCACUUCCAAUGCAGCGGGCUCGGGUUCGAUCCCUGGCUGGGGAA